rnacentral:rRNA from 1 species
UACGCAGGGCGCAAGCGUUGUCCGGAAUUAUUGGGCGUAAAGAGCUCGUAGGCGGCUUGUCACGUCGGGUGUGAAAGCCCGGGGCUUAACCCCGGGUCUGCAUUCGAUACGGGCUGGCUAGAGUGUGGUAGGGGAGAUCGGAAUUCCUGGUGUAGCGGUGAAAUGCGCAGAUAUCAGGAGGAACACCGGUGGCGAAGGCGGUUCUCUGGGCAUGAUCUGACGCUGAGGAGCGAAAGUGUGGGGAGCGAACAGG